rnacentral:rRNA from 3 species
GCGACCCCAGAUCAGGCGGGACCACCCGCUGAGUUUAAGCAUAUCAAUAAGCGGAGG